UUGAAAUGUAGCAUGCUCGUUUGGUGUUAAACUCUGAUGUUAUAUUUAUUAUUAAUUGUAUUUUGGGUAACGGGGUGUUACAAUUGG
rfam:Medicago truncatula strain A17 unplaced genomic scaffold scaffold0065, whole genome shotgun sequence.